GACGAACGCUGGCGGCGUGCUUAAUACAUGCAAGUCGAGCGGUAAGGCUCCUUCGGGAGUACACGAGCGGCGAACGGGUGAGUAACACGUGAGUAAUCUGCCCUUCACUUCGGGAUAACCACCGGAAACGGUGGCUAAUACCGAAUACGACCAGUCUUCGCAUGAGGUGCUGGUGGAAAGUCUUUUCGGUGAAGGAUGUGCUCGCGGCCUAUCAGCUUGUUGGUGGGGUAAUGGCCUACCAAGGCUUCGACGGGUAGCCGGCCUGAGAGGGUGACCGGCCACACUGGGACUGAGACACGGCCCAGACUCCUACGGGAGGCAGCAGUGGGGAAUAUUGGACAAUGGGCGAAAGCCUGAUCCAGCAACGCCGCGUGAGGGAUGACGGCCUUCGGGUUGUAAACCUCUUUCAGUACCGACGAAGCGCCCUGUCGGGUGGUGACGGUAGGUACAGAAGAAGGACCGGCCAACUACGUG
rnacentral:rRNA from 1 species